rnacentral:tRNA from 1 species
GGCUGUGUCGUCUAGUGGUAUGAUUCUCGCUUAGAGUGCAAGAGGUCUCGGGUUCAGAUCUCGGCACAGCCC